rnacentral:rRNA from 1 species
AUUGAACGCUGGCGGCAGGCUUAACACAUGCAAGUCGAGCGGGGUGAUGGUGCUUGCACUAUCACUUAGCGGCGGACGGGUGAGUAAUGCUUAGGAAUCUGCCUAUUAGUGGGGGACAACAUCUCGAAAGGGAUGCUAAUACCGCAUACGUCCUACGGGAGAAAGCAGGGGAUCACUUGUGACCUUGCGCUAAUAGAUGAGCCUAGGUCGGAUUAACUAGUUGGUGGGGUAAAGGCCUACCAAGGCGACGAUCUGUAGCGGGUCUGGGAGGAGGCGCCGCCACACUGGGACUGAGACACGGCCCAGACUCCUACGGGAGGCAGCAGUGGGGAAUAUUGUACAAUGGGGGGAACCCUGAUCCAGCCAUGCCGCGUGUGUGAAGAAGGCCUUAUGGUUGUAAAGCACUUUAAGCGAGGAGGAGGCUCUUUUGGUUAAUACCCAAGAUGAGUGGACGUUACUCGCAGAAUAAGCACCGGCUAACUCUGUGCCAGCAGCCGCCGUAA